GUYUUUUUGCUAAAAAUUUAAAGUCGGGCCUGCCCMCUGAAAUUUUAAAUGGCCGUGGUAUUUUGACCGUGCUAAGGUAGCAUAAUCAUUAGUUUUUUAAUUGAAAGCUGGAAUGAAAGGUUUGAUAAAAAAAUGACUGUCUCUAUUUAAUUUUAUUAAAAUUUUAUUUUUAAGUUCAAAAGCUUAAGUUAAAUUAAAAGACGAGAAGACCCUGUAGAGUUUAAUAAUUUAUAAAAAUUUAUAUUUUAGAAUUAAUUUAUUUAUUUUUUAAUAUUAUUUAAUUGGGGUGAUUGAAAAAUUUAUUUAACUUUUUUUUUAUUUAACCAUUAAUUUAUGAUAAAUUGAUCCAAUUUUUUUGAUUAUAAGAUUAAAUUACCUUAGGGAUAACAGCGUAAUUUUUUUAUAAAGUUCAAAUUAAAAAAAAAGAUUGCGACCUCGAUGUUGGAUUAAAAUUAAAUUUUGGUGUAGAAGCUAAAAAUUUUGAGUCUGUUCNACUUUUAAAAUUUUACA
rnacentral:rRNA from 1 species